CUCGCAGCUGUAAUUGGAUUGCUUCUAUUUGUUUUAUCUCCAGCUGUCUGCAUAUACAGAAAACUCACAGCCAGGACUCAAAACCAGAAUCCAGUCCAGGAGCAGAUUCAUCUUCCUACGGAAGGAGAGGUCAGAAGAACGUUGUCAUCUUUUACUGACACAUUUCUAUUUUCUUUUCUUUCUACGAGAAAGUGUUGAACUUUAAUUUUCACUUUCUAUCUCUAUAGGUAGUCCUCCCUCAAUCGCAGGGUGUCGCAGACAGGCGGACAAAUAAAAAGUGUAGGAGUCAGUACAUGGAGAGGCUCAAUUCAAUCUAUGAUCGCUCCUAAAGUGACCAUUUAAAUGAAGAGAAAUGGACAAACCAGGUGUUUCAAUGGGAACCAAUCAGAAGGAGGACAACUGGGUCACUGAUGCCUUCGGUUGAUCUAACAUUAAUCCCAGUGCUUUCACUUUAAGACAUUUUAUUUUUAGCUUAUCUUUUAUAUUAAUGGUACUCUUUGUAUUUUAAUAUGUUCUUGUGUUU
rnacentral:lncRNA from 1 species